CCUACGGGAGGCAGCAGUGGGGGAUAUUGGACAAUGGAGGCAACCCUGAUCCAGCGACGCCGCGUGAGUGAAGAAGUAUUUCGGAUUGUAAAGCUCUGUCAGCUGGGACGAUAGCAAUGAUGGCACCUGAACAAGCAGCGCCGACUAUCUACGUGCCAGCAGCCGCGGUACUACGUAGGCGGCAAGCGUUGUGCGGUAUUACGGGGAGUAAAGGGAGCGUAGACGGCUGUGUAAGUUAGGGGUGAAAGGCGAGGGCACAACUGUGGAAUUGUCCUUGUAACAAUAUGACUAGAAUGAAGGAGAGGUAAGUGGAAUUCCUAGUGUAGCGGUGAAAUUCGUAGAUAUUAGGUAGAACACCAGUGGCGAAGGCGACUAUCUGG
rnacentral:rRNA from 1 species